AACUGUUUGUUUGCUGUACCUGCAGCUGCUCAUCGCACCGCCGUCUUUCUCGCCCUUUGGUGUUGUUACUGCAGAAGCAGCGUGUUAGCUAGUGUUUCUUGUGUGCACUCUACUGUGAAAGGACGAUGCAGAUUACCAAUUACGUUCAUUUUCUUAACCUUCUAUUGUCAGCUCGGGCGUUGGAAAUACGAUGUGGAGCCAACCACAUUUUGGAAAUGGAACCUCUGUAUUUGUACCAGAUCAAGGACAGAGAAGUCAUUGUAACUGGUAAGAACGUCACGCAAUGGGAAAUCCGAAUAGCGAAUGCCAAGGGUACAGCAAGAGAAGUUCGAAAGCAUUUGACUUUGGUGAAUGGAAAAGAUCUCCGCAUAAAUGGUACUUCUAGCAAAAUUGAGGGACUUAGGCUGAGAUACGUUGACAAAGCAGGAAAUGCAAGUGCAUGGGCAACUCUUAUGACAGCAAGUCUGCCUGAGGUGCUUGUGGCUAAAAAAAGACGAAUGGAAAUAGAAGAGGGUGGUAAAGUUCCAAAAGUCUGUUACAGUCUAACACCAGGGAUACCAGAGAUGAAUACUCUGAAGGUUUACAAAGGUGAAGAAGAGAUGGAAGAAGGAGUAGAUUACAAUGUGAAGUCUAACUGUAUCAGACUUUUGCACUCUUUACCUCAAGAUUCUGGGACAUAUGCCAUAGUUGCAAGUAACUGCAUUGGAUCAUCAAACUUUUCAUUUCAUCUUAGAGUGACCAGAUCACAUGCUGUUUCUGAGCAGUCACCUCUCCAGAAGGGUGAGAAAGGUGAAGUUGGCCUCCCAGGCCCAACUGGCAUAACAGGACAGAAUGGUAAUGAUGGAUUACUAGGAGAAGAUGGACUGCCAGGGGUAAAGGGUGAUAAAGGGGAAUCAGGGUCACCUGGUUUAGUUGGAAUAAGAGGUCCACCUGGUGAGACAGGCUCCAGAGGUUUACAAGGGAUGGUUAGUGCACCUGGUUUCAAAGGAGAAAAAGGUAAAAGAUAAUGAGAUGCUACAGGGUUGUCGGUUGAAUUGGACAAAGGGUCCUAAAUUGUGGCUCCAAGGGGACUUUGGGCCACAGCUGUUGAUGUUAAUAUUAUUUCUAAAUCUCUGAUAUUAAAAAUAUUGAGUUAGUAAAUUGCUUAAUUUUGUAGUAAAGGACCUGCUAUAGAAUACAGAAUAGCCAAAAAUGUCUAUUCUACUAUGCUAGCUGCUACAAACUGGAUAUAUGAUCUUGAGCCUGGUUCAUGAUAUGUUUCAUUCAGCUCAUUUAGCUAAGUGGCAACAAGUGGCACGGUGCUCAUCAGAAAGAAACAGAAACGGAAACAUUGUGAACAGAUGCCACGCAGCAAACGUGGUAAGCCACAGACUAUGAGUGUCGUGCUGGCUGCUAAGGAUAUGCUUAUGUUCUGUCUCUGUGGAAACUGCACGCUGCCGCUGAACUUGGCCCAAUCUUAAUAUACCAUGAAAUAAUUUGUGUAAGUUUAUUUGGGAUAUUCUUUGCUUUGCACGUUCACACCGUACUAUUUGAGCCUAUAUACUAAGUAUACUACACUAUAUACUUUGCCUUUGCAGAAGUAAUAGCAAAGCCCGGUUCAGAAGCAAGAGCAUCAGUAUACUGCGACCUGGCAACACGUUCACAUGGCAGACGUUAGCAGCCAGCAGUUUUCUGCGCCUUGCUGCUGAUGUGAACAGCACAUACAGAGGGGAAUACAAGGCAAGAAUUUUGGUUGGACAUCAUGCUCUAGCAAAGGGUUGACCCGACAUUUUUAAUUUUAGGUACUCAUUGUUAUUUGAUUUCUGUAUUUAUUCGCUAUCAAAAUCAAAACAUAAAAUUUGGCUUGUUUGCUGUUGUUUUGUUGCAUUGUUGACAACGGAGUGGUGGUUAUAUUUCAUUGUGACUAAAAUUUCAUUAACUUUUAGUUAAGCAAGAUGUGUAAAGUAACAUGAACUGAUCAAGAGAUGAGCAAACUAAUCAAGAGCAUGUUGUUGUUCAACAAAAAAUUUAGUUACUGACAGGUGGCCCUCCCAUUGUUUAUCCUAUAAUCUACUAUAAAUAUGAUACCAUUAUUGCUCUAAAAUGUCAUUUUGCACUGGCACAGCUCUUGUAGAUCUUGCUUGCUUCUGUCAGUUGUGUGGACUUUUGUGUCACUCAUUGAUUCACUAUCAUCCAUGCAAAAACUAUUAUACCUUGACCAAUCAUGUAGGUAUAUGUCCAAUCAAAGUAGAAUUGUGUUCGGUCAUGAACACAAGUUGGUCGGUCAAUGACCAAUGACCAACCGUUAUAUUCCACUCUGACAUAUUGUAAACCAGGCUUUCAUUCCUCAAAAAUUGUUUCUACUGCUUUCUUAUCAGAGGUAAUUGACAGUAGGGGAUUAACAUUUUUUAUCCAGAUGAGUCUUUGCCAUGCCUUUAACAUAACAGUACUUCAUUAGGCUGCCUUUAAAAAGUGUGGAGCAAGACUUUCACAGUAGAGCAGUGCCAGGUUUGCUUAUUUUUAGUUGCAAGAGUUGCAAAGUCUUCCCCACAGUUGUAAUACUCUGGAUGGUAUAGUAUGAAUUUCAUUGAAUGAUCAUAUUAUGAACUGCCUUUGCACCUUGGUUAGUUAAUUAAUUGGCUUGUGUUGAAAAGACCUGCACGUCUUUUUAAAUUCUCCUGCAAACAGGAUUCAUUCAGUGCGUGGUAUUUCUCAACAAAACAGUCCAGGUCUGAUAACCUUGUUGUCAAAGUGACAGCUAUUGUAUAAUUACCGUAUUAACCAUUCCCUUUGUCUGAGGCCACAAUUUUCGGACUACAAUUUUUUCUAUCAACAUGGAAAUGGCAACCUAGUAAUAUUGUUGCUUGAUCAGGAAAUCACAUUUGUAAAUUGUGUGGCAACAGGCAACGAUGGUGUGGUUGGCCACCCAGGCGCUCCAGGACAGAAGGGACAAAAAGGUGAAACAGGUAGCCGCGGUAAUCCAGGCAGCCCUGGCUCACCAGGCUUAUCUGCCACUGGAGUAGC